AUUGAACGCUGGCGGCACGCCUUACACAUGCAAGUCGAACGGUAACGGGCCUUCGGGUGCCGACGAGUGGCGAACGGGUGAGAAAUGUAUCGGAACGUACCUUUCAGUGGGGGAUAACGUAGCGAAAGUUACGCUAAUACCGCAUAUUCUGUGAGCAGGAAAGCAGGGGAUCGCAAGACCUUGCGCUGAUUGAGCGGCCGAUAUCAGAUUUGCUAGUUGGUGAGGUAAAGGCUCACCAAGGCGACGAUCUGUAGCGGGUCUGAGAGGAUGAUCCGCCACACUGGAACUGAGACACGGUCCAGACUCCUACGGGAGGCAGCAGUGGGGAAUUUUGGACAAUGGGGGGAACCCUGAUCCAGCCAUGCCGCGUGAGUGAAGAGGGCCUUCGGGUUGUAAAGCUCUUUCGGCCGGGAAGAAAUCGUAUCAGCUAAUACCUGGUGCGGAUGACGGUACCGGCAUAAGAAGCACCGGCUAACUACGUGCCAGCCGCCGCCGUAAGAC
rnacentral:rRNA from 1 species